CACACUGCAAUUUGAGAAGAUGUAUCAGUAUUACAGUGAAGUAAAGGGGCUUGAGAGAGGAGUUAGCCAAAAUAUGAUUGGAAAAGAACAUUGGCAGGGAUGACAAGACAGCAGCAAUGGCUGGAAUUUCUGGAAGCAAACAGAUAAGAUACAUCCCAAAAAAGAAGAAGGAUUUUAAAGGCAAGAUGACACAACCGUGGCUAUCAAGAGAAGUCAAAGCCAACAUAAAAGCCAAAGAGAGAGCAUAAAAUAGAGCAAAAAUUAUUGGGAUGUUAGAGGAUUGGGAAGCUUUUAAAAACCAACAGCAGGCAACUUAAAAAAAAGUCAUUAAGAAGGAAAAGAUGGAAUACGAAGGUAAGCUAGCCAAUAAUAUUAAAGAGGAUACCAAAAGCUUCUUCAGAUACAUAAAGUGUAAAAGAGAGGCGAGAGUGCAUAUCAGACCACUGGAAAAAGAUGCUGGAGAAGUAGUAAUGGGGGACAAGGAAUACUGUGCAUCAGUCUUCACUGUGGAAGACACUAGCAGUAUGCCAGAAGUUCGAGACUGUCGGGGCAGAAGUUGCUAUUACUAGAAUGAAGGUUCUUGGGAAAGUGAAAGUUCUGAAGGUAGAUACUUCACCUGGGCCAAAUGGUCUACACCCCAGGGUUCUGUAAGAGGUGGCUGAAGAGAUUGUGGAGGCAUUAGUAAUGCUCUUUCAAGAAUCCAUUGAUUCUGGCAUGGUUCUGGAGGACUGGAAAAUUGCAAAUGUCACUACACUCUUCAACAAGGGAGAGAGACAGAAGAAAGGAAAUUAUAGGCCAGUUAGCCUGACCUCAGUAGUUGAGAAGAUGUUGGAGCCAAUUGUUAAGGAUGUGGUUUCGGGACUUGGAGGCACAUGAUAAAAUAGGCUGUAGUCUGCAUGGUUUCCUCAAGAAAAAAUCUUGCCUGACAAAUCUGUCGGAAUUCUCUGAAGAAACAGCAAGUAAGAUAGACAAAGGAAAAUCGGUGGAUGUUGUGUACUUGGAUUUUUAGAAGGCCUUUGACAAAAUGGUACACGUGAGGCUGCUUAACAAGCUCUGAGCCCAUGGUAUUACAGGAAAGAAUCUAGCAUGGAUAAAGCAGUAGCUGAUUGGAAGGAAGCAAAGAAUGAGAAUAAAGGGAGCUUUUUCUGGUUGUCUGUCAGUGACUAGUAGUGUUCCACAGGGGUCUGUGUUGGGACUAAAUCUUUUUAUGUUAUAUGUCAAAGACUUAGAUGAUGGAAUCAAUGGCUGUGGCAAAGGUUACAGAUGAUACAAAGAUAGGUGGUGGGGCAGGUAGUUUUGAUGAAGUAGAGAGGCUACAGAAGGACUUAGACAGAAGAGGAGAAUGGGCAAAGAAGUGGCAGAUGGAAUACAGUGUCAGGAAGUGUAUGGCCAAGCAUUCUGGAUCCUGGUAGAAGAAAUAAAAGGUUAGACAAUUUUCUAAAUAGAGUGAAAAUUCAAGAAUUUGAGGUGCAAAGGGACUUUGGAAUCUUUGUGCAGAAUUCCCUAAAGGUUAAUUUGGAGGUUGAAUUGGUGGCGAGGAAGGCAGAUGCGAUGUUAGCAUUCAUUUCAAGAGGACUAGAAUAUAUAAGCAAGGAUGUAAUUUUGAGAUUUUAUAAAGUACUGGUGAGGCCUCACUUGGAAUAUUCUGAAUAUUUUUGGGCCCUUUAUCUAAGAAAGGGUGUGUUGACAUUGGAGAGGGUUCAAAGGAAGUUCACAACAAUGAUUCUGGGACUGAAAUGCUUGUCAUAUGAUGUGUGUUUGAUAGCUCUGGGCCUGUACUCACUGGAAUUCAGAAGAAUGAGGGGGUGACCGAAUUACAAUAUAUCAAUUGUUGAAAGUCCUUUAUACAGUGGAUGUGAAGAGGAUUUUUCCUAUGACAGGGGAGUCUAAGACCAGAGUAUACAGCCUCACAAUAGAGGAACAUUCAUUUAGAAUGGAGAUGAGGAGGUAUCUCUUUAACCAGAGAGUGGUGAAUCUAUGGAAUUUGUUGUCACAGGUGGCUGUGGAUGCCAAGUCAUUGGGUAUAUUUAAGGCAUAGGUUGAUAAAUUCUUGAUUAGUCAAGGCAUGAAGGGAUACGGGGGAAGACAAGAGAUUGGAGCUGAGAGGGAAAUUAGAUCAGCCAUGAUGAAAUGGCACAGUCGACUCGAAGGGCCUAAUGGCCUAAUUCUGCUCCUAUAUCUUAUGGUCUUACCAGAUGAGUGAUUCAUGGAAUGAUAAGGUACUGCUAAAAAGGUUGAGGUAUUGAAUGAGCUAUCCAAGAUGGAAGGAAUGUUUAAAUUUGGAGUGAAUGGGGUGGACAGGUAGGUGGAUGUUGGGCUGCGUUUGAGUGAAUGCUUAGUUACUUGGUACCUUAAAAUAAUGGUGAUGUUCUCUUCUUUGAGACUAGGAUUUAUGAUUUUGAGUCCUGAACUGCAAAUUGAAUAAUUCAGUCUGAGAAGACUCUCCAAUGUACUGCUGAGGGAAUAAUUCUGCCCUGCUGAAAGUAUUGACUUCCUGGAACACUAAAGCCAAUUGUAGCACUCACUAUCAACAUUCUAAGCAAGAUUAAGUAACAGGACAUUGAACCAAAAACCUUCCUGACUACACAAAAUCACACUAGAAGACUACACAGUAAACCUACUUACUGUGAAAAUUAGUUCUUCUUCCAGCCAAGAGGGAUGUUUUCUGUUUUCUUCCGCAACUUGUAAGGUUAAAUUUUAAUAAGUUAUUGUAGUAUUUAGCAUGCAAAUACUUGAAUGUAAUAAACUGAACAUUAAAACAUUGUAAUAAAUAGUUA